rnacentral:rRNA from 1 species
UACGUAGGGUGCGAGCGUUAAUCGGAAUUACUGGGCGUAAAGUGUGCGCAGGCGGCAGAGCAAGUCGAGUGUGAAAGCCCCGGGCUUAACUUGGGAAUUGCGCUCGAAACUACUUUGCUGGAGUGUGGCAGAGGAAGGUGGAAUUCCACGUGUAGCGGUGAAAUGCGUAGAGAUGUGGAGGAACACCAGUGGCGAAGGCGGCCUUCUGGGCCAACACUGACGCUGAUGCGCGAAAGCGUGGGGAGCAAACAGG